GAUUUUUUUCAUAAAAUAGGGGUGAUUUCCUGUUUUGGACACCUUUAAAGUGCUUUGAACAGUUUUCAUUAAACUUUGGAGACUGAUUUAUAUCAAUUGAUAUAACCUCCCUUUAGUUUUUCACAAAUUUAUUACAUGACAUUGAGAAAUUAUUGAACUUUAUCCUUAGAAUAUGCAACAGGUGUAUCAUGCGCUCAUGGCACAGCUGAUUAUUUGUCUUGACAAAGUUAAAAAAAAAAGCGAUACUUAGGUUUGCUGUUUCUUACGACAUCAGCCCCUACAAUAUAUGAGUUUGUGGUUAGGUCAAGUUUAUGGGGUACUUCUAGUGGUAGGUCAAUGAUAUUUGGUAUGCAGUUGUAAUAGCAUUCAGGCAUCUCAUUUCCAUCAGAGAUAUUAUUUGGCCCCUCCCCCUCAGACUAUUGACUUGAAACUAUUGCUUAGUUUACCGUUUACAUGUACAAGUUUGUGAUGAGAGUAUUGGCACAUCUAAAGACAUUUUUUUUGGUCCCCCCUUCAGACAUAGUUCAUUGAAUGAAUGUUUUGCAUCAGUUAAAGAAAAGCAAGUAUAAAUGUAAAGUCAAUUAAAUUUGGUAUUCAAGUGUAUUGGGAUUUGCAAGUCCCAUUUCCAUGGAGAUUAUAUGACCCCACCCUCUCAUGGUCCAUUGAUUUUGAAUCUUUUACAUAUCUUACUAGUUUAGGUUAGUUUAAAGGGAAUCGCUAAUGGUAUGACUCGAUUUAUUUCACUUGACUGGGCGGAGUUUAACCGAUUCGCUCACAAUAAACCAGUCCAUCUAUAGAUAGGUGUUUUAGGAAAAACUCAUCAAUGAAGUGUCCAGUCAUUGUUUUUUAAAAUUCCUUUGAUGACACUGAUAGGUGAUUAGAAAUCAGUAAUAAUUAUAACAGCUAUCAUCCUUAUCACAC
rnacentral:lncRNA from 1 species